rnacentral:lncRNA from 1 species
CACCAUCUAAUGCUAGUUGGGGGAGUUUGUGGCUCCGCUCAUCCCCCCAACACGUUGCGCUGGCAGAUGUGCAAUGACUUUGGUGUCCUUUUCACUCUCUUUGAGCAGCCUCAGCAGCAGAAGCGAUGGUCUGGGCUCAGCAUCGCUCACGUGUGUAGGAGAGUCGCAGCGUUAAACAGCGUCUGCUGCCUGGGAGGCUGCUGAGAUCAAAUGUUAGCUCGUCGGCCUGACAGUGGAUCAUCAGCGACGCUGCCUCCUGCUUUCUCCAUGAGAAACCUGCUUAAGGAUGCUGACGAAGGCUUGAUGAAUGAGGACUGAGCAAGCAGAAGGCAGCUGUGGCUAUAACCAACGUCACCGUUCUGACGUCAGGGCCGUGGGGUCGCUCCCUUCCCCGCAAAAGAAAAUAUCAGAAGAGAGUCAGGUUGUGAAACAGCAACCUCUUCAAGUUUUGGCUCCAAAAUCCCCGCUGACUCUUGUGAUUUAUCACUUACCCAGCUGCUCGCAGCUUGCAAAAGAGAAGAGAAAGGGGGAAAAUAUGGAUUUUUUAAGUCUUGGCUUUAAAACCCACAGACUCAAGCCAAGACUCCUGUCAUGGCUGAGGUAAUGAAGGAGGAACAACGUUACCUGUGCCACCAAGAAGCCCCCGCUCGGGGCAGAGCGGGUGAUUUCCAUCAGAUACUGCUUUCCUGCCUUUCUUCCUUGCGGUGAUUACCAGAGGAAUAGCAAAUUUUGCCAUUAAUUUGAAUGUUGCUGUUAAUUCCAUCUCAAAUGAACCCCUGAGACGGAGGAGUACCCCUCCCUCGGGCUGGUUUCAGUCGCUCUGCCAACUCGGGCACAGAUCGCUCACUUCGCACCUCCGAGUUUUUCCUUUCCCGGCGUCGCCGUCGGUGAUUUCUUCCCUAAGGAAAGUUCCAGCCUGAAG